rfam:Pongo abelii chromosome X.
GUGCUCGCUUUGGCAGUACAUAUACUAAAAUUGGAAUGAUACAGAGAAGGUUAACAUGGCCCCUGUAUAAUAUAUGUAUAGUUUUUAAAAUACAUCCUGAACAUGAAUUUUU